rnacentral:rRNA from 1 species
UACGGAGGGUCCAAGCGUUAUCCGGAAUCAUUGGGUUUAAAGGGUCCGUAGGCGGUCUUGUAAGUCAGUGGUGAAAGCCCAUCGCUCAACGGUGGAACGGCCAUUGAUACUGCAAGACUGAAUUAUUGGGGAAGCAAACUAGAAUAUGUAGUGUAGCGGUGAAAUGCUUAAAGAUUACAUGGAAUACCAAUUGCGAAGGC